CAGAGCCCACGCAGCUAAUUAGGGACUCGAGGGACGCGCGUGCGCCAGCCAUCUGGAGGGGUCGUUAGCAGCAGGCGAAGCUCGGGAGCAAACACCGAGUUGAUGUUGGAGAAACAUCAACCAAACUCUGAAGGCAGAGACUGCUUUCUUCACAGCUGUUUCUCUUCCCUGAAGUCUGCUGGAUAGACACGAUGCCGUGUCAGUGUUUUGGGGGUUCGGGUACGUGGUGCAGCAGCUCCCGCGGCUGCUGCCUGCCGAACCUGGCAGGGCACCGGUGCCUUGCACAGCCUCUGCGGGUCUGCGUGGCAGCUCUCGGUCUUGUUUCCAGUAAGACACUGGCCAAAGCCAGCUCCUGUUAGCAAUGCAUCUCGUCUCCCCAGCAGCAUCCCAGGGCAUCGAUGUCUUCCCGUGGCUUAAGUCUGUCCCUGCUCUACGAGCCAUUCAGGUGCACGCUCGGGACCUCUUAAUUUCAGGGGCGUUUGUGUCCGUCCGGGUCAAACCCAGGUUGUAGGUGCUUUUAUUAAAGCAGAGGCACAGUUAA